GACGAACGCUGGCGGCGUGCUUAACACAUGCAAGUCGAACGGAAAGGCCCUGCUUUUGUGGGGUGCUCGAGUGGCGAACGGGUGAGUAAACCGUGAGUAACCUGCCCUUGACUUUGGGAUAACUUCAGGAAACUGGGGCUAAUACCGGAUAGGAGCUCCUGCUGCAUGGGGGGGUUGGAAAGUUUCGGCGGUUGGGGAUGGACUCGCGGCUUAUCAGCUUGUUGGUGGGGUAGUGGCUUACCAAGGCUUUGACGGGUAGCCGGCCUGAGAGGGUGACCGGCCACAUUGGGACUGAGAUACGGCCCAGACUCCUACGGGAGGCAGCAGUGGGGAAUAUUGCACAAUGGGCGGAAGCCUGAUGCAGCAACGCCGCGUGCGGGAUGACGGCCUUCGGGUUGUAAACCGCUUUCGCCUGUGACGAAGCGUGAGUGACGGUAAUGGGUAAAGAAGCACCGGCUAACUACGUG
rnacentral:rRNA from 1 species